rnacentral:misc_RNA from 1 species
UUUCCGUAGGUGAACCUGCGGAAGGAUCAUUAAAGAAUUGCCCCGUCUUCUCGAAGAUGGGUUCUAUUCCAAACCGUGUUUACAUACCUUUGUUGCUUUGGCGGGCCGCCGCUUCGGCGUUGGCUCCGGCUGACUGCGCCCGCCAGAGGACCACAACUCUUUUGUUUAGCAAUGUCUGAGUACUAUAUAAUAGUUAAAACUUUCAACAACGGAUCUCUUGGUUCUG